rnacentral:lncRNA from 1 species
AAUUGACUUUGAAUCUCGCUGAACCUGUUAGUUUUUUUCUAAUUGCAUGAGUUUGAGUACCAUAAGUCUGUGAAUAUAUACUGCAAACACCAGAGUUUCUUGCCCACCCUUCCUUUUCUCUAUCAUUCUUCUUUGAUGCUCCAUUCAUUCCUUCCUCUGCAAGCAACCUCCCUUUCUCAUUAUUCCCUGUAUUUUUUUGGUUCUCUAUAGUUCAUCAGGAUUUUUUAUCCCCUGGUGGUGUGAGGUAGAGUUUAAUGAUCUCCUAAAUUUUUGGCGGAAAAAGCCUGCACAUGGUAUUGUUCUUUUCCUGCUUUCACUUUGGAUAAAUGUCCUUUCUGCUCUUCUUUCCUUGGCUGAUGCUAUAGUUUAUUCUCUACUGAGUUUGUGUUGCAUGCUCAGCUUUGUGAUUGGCACCUACGGGGCAAUUGUUUUUGGAGAUUUGUGCAGUUCUGCUGUUUCUAGUUCAUCAUUUACUAUGUGCCGCUUUGUUCAUCAACUCAACUCAUAUGUUCAGUUCAAAGCGGCUUUAAUAAUCAAGAAACUAAUUCAUCACUAGGAGGAUUAGCCGUUGCAUGCUAAGGAUACUUAACAAUCUGAGGGUAUUUGUUUUGCAAGUAACUGGCUGGUGUUAGACUGUGAUUGGUUCUUGUUGAUGUCAUCCUUCUCUGCCUGUGGGAUCAUAGAACAUCCUCUGAUGUUUAGUUUGUUGCCGUAAUGGCAACGACAUCACCGACCGAUGCCAAGCGCAAGUACUCAUGGUGGUGGGACAGUCAUAUCUGCCCAAAGAACCCCAAAUGGCUUCAGGAGAAUCUCAAAGGUAAAAUAUGUUAACUUGUUGAGCUGUCUGCAUGUCAUUUCCUUGGAUGAUCGGUUCCUUUGGAUUCUAAAAACUGAGCAUGCCUCAGAUGCUGAUCUGGCAUUAGAUUUGUAACCCUGAUUCUGAAGUGAAUAAGCAAACACACACAAUAACUGAAUUCGAAAUUUCACUGGAAGUUCCUCUGAGAUCAAUUUGAGCAGAAAUGUAGAUAUUCGGAGGUGGUUCAAAGAAUGCUUGCUAAAGACUGAAGCUUAUUGGAUUAUCCAAAUGAGCUUUAUUGGUGAUUUAAGCCCGUCAAAUUCAAAACUGGAAAUUCAGAAAAGAUAUGAGAUGGCAAUUUGUUAUUUAAAUAUGACUUAUGAAGCUUACAAUUAAAAUAAUAAAUUUAUAGUCUGAAUUUCGAAACCUGAAACUCUACAUGCUGUGAAUAUAUACUGCAAACACCAGAGUUGAUCAUUAAAACAUAUGUCGCUCCUAUUUUUUGUGUGAAAAUGUACUAGUUAUCUGCAAUACAAGCUAGACAUGAACCAACUCUUGCUUCUAAAGGAACAUUGUAUAAAUUUAGACCUCAUGUGUUAUGCUAUAGAUUUAUAAAUUUUGCUUUGUCUUAUUCCCGAGCUGGCACUAUAAAUUUGACUUAUCGUUAUGUAUAAGCAGCUCAUCUGGCGGCAAUACUAUUAGUUAUUAUUUAUUAUAAGUCAUACUGAUCAUGAAAAAUAUGCCACAGUAAACUUUGAAACAAUGCUGAUAACAGUUUCACACAGUUGUGCCCCUUUAUAUUGCUUGCUCUCACUCAAUAGGCACCAUUUGUGCAUUUCUGUUCCAUAUCUCUUACCCUGAUGUUGAAAAAGUAAUUAAGCCUUGAACUACUUGAAUCAUUGAUGUGCUGUAAAUCUAUGCUCGGUUCUAUAUGCGAAGGUAGACACUAUCUUUGCUGCUUGUGUCUUGAAUAAAUAAAUAAAAUUCUGUAAUGAUGAUCUGAAAUGUCACA